GUGGUCACUUCGUCAGCACAUACACUAAAAUAAGGAUGACACAGAGAAUAGCAUUUCCUCUGUGCAAGGGUGACGUGCAAAUUCAUGCAGUGUUCCAUAUUUUU